AAGGCCUUAGUUUAAUAAAAACAUUUGAUUUGCAAUCAGAAAAUGCAAGUAGCUCUGUAGGUCUA
rnacentral:tRNA from 1 species